GGAUGUGAGGGUGAUCUGGCUGCGGCAUCUGUCACCCCAUUGACAGGGUUAAUUCGGCCGAUCUGGCUGGCUAGGGUGGGUGUCUCCUUCUUCCCUCACUGCUCCAUGUCCGCUCCUCCUGAAGCUCCGUGCUUGGUCGAAGAGGAUGACCUUCCCUACUAGAGAGGACCGGUCUUCAGUCAUGGUUGUGCAAGUGGUUGUGCUCCCCUGCUAGAACCUUCAAACAAGCUCUCAAAGGGAGACUUGUUCUUGUCUUUUGCUAGUAAAUUUUGCUUCAUUAAAAUCACACUGUUAUUUUACUUUAAUGAGUAAUGCUUUAAAAUAC
rnacentral:snRNA from 1 species